ensembl:misc_RNA 7SK 7SK RNA
GGAUGUGAGAGCGAUCUGGCUGCGACAUCUGUCACCCCAUUGAUCGACAGGGUUGAUUCAGCUGAUCUGGCUGGCUAGGCAGGUGUCCCCUUCCUCCCUCACCACUCCAUGUGCGUCCCUCCCCAAGCUGCGUGAUCGGUCGCCUUCCUGGAAUAGAGACGGACAGGUCUUUGGUCGAGGGUAUAAGAGUAGCUGUGCUCCCCUGCUAGAACCUCCUAACAAGCUCUCAUGUACAUCUACACCAAAGUUUAUCAUUUUAAAGAUGAGAAAAACAAUCCCAUAAAAUGGGAGAAGUU